rnacentral:rRNA from 1 species
GAUGAACGCUGGCGGCGUGCCUAAUACAUGCGGGUCGAGCGAACAGAUGAGGAGCUUGCUCCUCUGACGUUAGCGGCGGACGGGUGAGUAACACGUGGAUAACCUACCUAUAAGACUGGGAUAACUUCGGGAAACCGGAGCUAAUACCGGAUAAUAUAUUGAACCGCAUGGUUCAAUAGUGAAAGACGGUUUUGCUGUCACUUAUAGAUGGAUCCGCGCCGCAUUAGCUAGUUGGUAAGGUAACGGCUUACCAAGGCAACGAUGCGUAGCCGACCUGAGAGGGUGAUCGGCCACACUGGAACUGAGACACGGUCCAGACUCCUACGGGAGGCAGCAGUAGGGAAUCUUCCGCAAUGGGCGAAAGCUUGACGGAGCAACGCCGCGUGAGUGAUGAAGGUCUUCGGAUCGUAAAACUCUGUUAUUAGGGAAGAACAAAUGUGUAAGUAACUAUGCACGUCUUGACGGUACCUAAUCAGAAAGCCACGGCUAACUACGUG